rnacentral:rRNA from 1 species
UUUUUGAUCAUAAUUUAAAGUAGGGCCUGCCCACUGAAUAUUUGAAGGGCCGCAGUAUUUUGACUGUGCAAAGGUAGCAUAAUCAUUAGUUUUUUAAUUGAAAGCUUGUAUGAAUGGUUUGAUGAGAAAAUAACUUUCUAUAUUUAAUUUUAUAAAAACUUUAUUUUUAAGUUAAAAAGCUUAAAUAUUUUUAAUAGACGAGAAGACCCUAUAGAGUUUAAUUUUAACUUAAAUUUUAAUUUAUAGAAUUUUAUAAUUAUAAUUUUUAUUAAAAUUUGAUUGGGGUGAUUAAAAAAUUAAAUUAACUUUUUUUAAAUUAAUACAUAAAUUUAUGAAUGAUUGAUCCAUAUAAAUGAUUAAAAGAAUAAAUUACCUUAGGGAUAACAGCGUUAUUUUUUUUUAGAGUUCAAAUCGAAAAAAGAGAUUGCGACCUCGAUGUUGGAUUAAAGUUAAUUUUAGGUGCAGAAGCUUAAAAAUUUGGUCUGUUCGACCAUUAAAACUUUACA